UCUUCCGCACGUCAUUAUGCGGCGCCUAAAAGCCAUUUCAGUUCCGCUGUCGCAAUGGAAUCAAACAAGGACGAAGCGGAACGCUGCAUAGAAAUAUCUAUCGCGGCGCUUCAAAAUAAUCAACCCGACAAAGCUCGAAGAUUCCUGGAGAAGGCGCAGAAACUGUUUCCCACACAGAAGGCACGACGUUUAUUAGAAUCUAUAGCUCUGAAUGGAAAUGCACAUGGCUGUAAUAAUAACUGUGGAGAAAGUGAGGGCAGUGGAGUUCGACACCGAGCCACCAGUGCUGGAGAGGAGACAUCAGAAGACCGAGCCACAGACGGAGCCAAAUCAUAUACAGCAGAACAACUGGAUGCAGUCAAACAGAUAAAGAAAUGCAAAGACUAUUACGAGAUUUUGGGAGUCAGUAAAGAUGUGUCGGAGGAUGAUCUGAAAAAAGCUUAUAGAAAACUGGCUUUGAAAUUCCAUCCGGAUAAAAACCAUGCUCCAGGUGCUACAGAGGCAUUUAAAGCUAUUGGAAAUGCGUAUGCCGUUCUUAGUAACACAGAAAAGCGGAAGCAGUAUGACCUUUACGGUGAGGAGACAGUUCACCCGUCACGUCAUGGCCAUUCUCAUCAUGGCUUUGAGGCAGAUAUUUCACCUGAGGAUCUCUUCAAUAUGUUCUUUGGCGGUGGAUUCCCAUCUAGUAAUGUCCAUGUUUAUAGUAAUGGCAGGAUGAGAUUUGGACAUAACCAGAGGCCUGAGCGAAGAGAACAAAGGAGAGAUGGAAGUCUUGCUCUGUUUGUUCAGCUGAUGCCCAUCCUCGUCCUCAUUGUAGUUUCAGCCCUUAGCCAGUUGAUGGUGUCCAGCCCCCCCUACAGUCUAAGUCACAGGCCAUCUUCAGGGCACACGAACAGGAGGCAAACAGCUAAUCUGAAUGUGCCUUACUAUGUGGGUGACCACUUUUCAGAAGAAUAUACUGGAAAGCAUCUUAAGAAUAUUGAGCAAAGUGUGGAGGAUGACUACAUUUCAAACCUUCGAAAUAACUGCUGGAAGGAAAAGCAACAGAAGGAAGGACUGUUGUAUCGGGCACGGUAUUUUGGAGAUUCAGACUUAUACCAAAGGGCCCAGAAGAUGGGUACCCCCAGUUGUUCAAAGCUGUCAGACAUUCAAGUCCUUUUACAUGGACCCUGAAAAACAAGAUAAUGCACCCUGCCACACUGCAAGACUCGUUCAGGAACGGUUUGAGGUACAUGACAAAGAGUUCAAGGUGUUGACUUGGCCUCCAAAUUCCCCAGAUUUCAAUCCGAUCGAGCAUCUGUGAGAUGUGCUGGACAAACAAGUCUGAUCCAUAGGGGCCCCAACUCACAACUUACAGGACUUACAGGAUCUGCUGUUAACGGCUUGGUUCCAGAUACCACAGCAUACCUUGAAGGGUCAGAGCUGUCUCGGUGGCAAAAGGGGGAGCUACACAAUAAUAGACAGGUCCAUAUUUGAAGGUGACCAACUACAAACUCACCAAACUUUCACUAAAAGUAGAGUGGGAAUCUGCACCAGUUCAAGAAAAGAACAAAAACAAUCUAUCUCCUUGCAGCCACACGCAACUUCACCUUUCCUCUCCCAUAAUGAUGUUGAAGUGGGACAUCAUUGAGUAUCUAGUGCUAUGGUCUGAAAAACGGCACUAACACUUAAUUGUGUUUAUAUGAAAGUAACUGGUGAUGCUUUAUGAAUGUGAAACGUGAACAAAUUGGUAUAUUCUGAAUAGUACGUUAUGAUCCAAGCUUAAUGCUUUUCUUUCAGUGUGUCCAUGCACCCCAGUUUUUUUUAAACAGUUCAUAAAGUCCUUUAUUUGGGUUAUCUGAACCAAUUCAGAUUUUUACGUUUCAACAGCAAGAACGUCAAGAAAUUUGGUUAUGUAUAUUGUUGCCAUUUGUUAUUUAAUUAUUCACUGUAGAUUGCCUGUUGGUUUUUUUUAAGAAGCAGUUGAGAUUAAUGAAGAGAUUUUCCCAUGUAUUUAUUAAAAUUUAAUCAACUA